UAGGGAAUCUUCGGCAAUGGACGAAAGUCUGACCGAGCAACGCCGCGUGAGUGAAGAAGGUUUUCGGAUCUUAAAACUCUGUUGUUUGAGAAGAACAAGGACGUUAGUAACUGAACGUCCCCUGACGGUAUCUAACCAGAAAGCCACGGCUAACUACGUGCCAGCAGCCGCGGUAAUACGUAGGUGGCAAGCGUUGUCCGGAUUUAUUGGGCGUAAAGCGAGCGCAGGCGGUUUCUUAAGUCUGAUGUGAAAGCCCCCGGCUCAACCGGGGAGGGUCAUUGGAAACUGGGAGACUUGAGUGCAGAAGAGGAGAGUGAAAUUCCAUGUGUAGCGGUGAAGUGCGUAGAUAUAUGGAGGAACACCAGUGGCGAAGGCGGCUCUCUGGUCUGUAACUGACGCUGAGGCUCGAAAGCGUGGGGAGCAAACAGG
rnacentral:rRNA from 1 species